rnacentral:rRNA from 1 species
GUACGGCCGCAAGAUUAAAAGUCAAAGGAAUUGACGGGGGGCCGCACAAGCGGUGGAGCAUGUGGUUUAAUUCGACGCAACGCGAAGAACCUUGCCAGCCCUUGACAUGUCCGGACGGUUUCCAGAGAUGGAUUCCUCCUAGCAAUAGGUCGGAACACAGGUGCUGCAUGGCUGUCGUCAGCUCGUGUCGUGAGAUGUUGGGUUAAGUCCCGCAACGAGGCGCAACCCUCGCCAUUAGUUGCCAUCAUUCAGUUGGGCACUCUAAGGGGACUGCCGGUGAUAAGCCGGAGGAAGGUGGGGAUGACGUCAAGUCCUCAUGGCCCUUACGGGCUGGGCUACACACGUGCUACAAUGGCGGUGACAGAGGGAUGCAAAGGGGCGACCCUUCGCAAAUCUCAAAAAGCCGUCUCAGUUCGGAUUGGGGUCUGCAACUCGACCCCAUGAAGUUGGAAUCGCUAGUAAUCGCAGAUCAGCACGCUGCGGUGAAUACGUUCCCGGGCCUUGUACACACCGCCCGUCACACCAUGGGAGUUGGCUUUACCUGAAGACGGUGCGCUAACCGCAAGGAGGCAGCCGGCCACGGUAGGGUCAGCGACUGGGGUGAAGUCGUAACAAGGUAGCCGUAGGGGAACCUGCGGCUGGAUCACCUC